GCGGAGCGCGGGCGCGGCGGGGGCGGGCGGCCAGGCCGGUCGGGCGGGUGCGCGGGGCGCGCGAGGCCCGGGGCCAGAGCUGGAGCCGGAGCCGGACGGGCGCCAUGGAAGGGCUGCGGCGGGGGCUGUCGCGCUGGAAGCGCUACCACAUCAAGGUGCACCUGGCGGACGAGGCGCUGCUGCUGCCGCUGACCGUGCGGCCGCGGGACACACUGAGCGACCUGCGCGCCCAGCUGGUGGGUCAGGGCGUGAGCUCCUGGAAGCGCGCCUUCUACUACAACGCGCGGCGGCUGGACGACCACCAGACGGUGCGCGACGCGCGCUUGCAGGACGGCUCGGUGCUGCUGCUCGUCAGCGACCCCAGGUAGUCUGGGUUGGAAGAGGCAGAGCCAUGACCGAGGGGACCCGGGUACUGGCUGAAGGAAUAGGCUGGGGUAGAGGGCACUUUUGGAAAACACUUCUCCCGCCUCCCGGGAGCCUAGAUCUCACUCCAGGGUCUGGGCUCCCAGGUGGAUGGUGAAACCCUGGCCUGACCAGAUGAUGCACACUGCUUCAGACACUCCUGCUGGAGCCCCAAUCCCUGACAUGGACCUAGGACAUUUUUGCUCCUGCCCAGCCUAUCAGGAGAGAGCUUUGAGCCUUUCAGCUCUGCUGUGUGACUUUGAGGCUGUUGCUCCCCUGUUGGGGCCCUGGGUGCCCUGUCUUCAGUGGGAAGCACUGUGCCACCUUGGAAAGCUCCCAUGGGCAUCCAGAGAGCAUCGCAAGAAGAGAAGCACAGAGGGGACAGGAGAGGCACUCGGAGGCACUUCCCCUCUUGCCCAGGACAUUCUCCCAGCCACACCUUUGCCCAAGCCAUGCCCCCUGCCUGGAGCACUUUUCAACCUCUUCUCUGCAGCUCCAAUACACGUGGGAUUGCAGUCUCCUCCAGGAAGGCUUCCCUGAUUCUCUCCUUCCCAGCCAGAGAGCACUUAGCCCUCUUUGGGGCCCCCACAGGCCCUUUGUGCAGUGAACAGCCCUGGUUGGGGGUGCAGCCAGUCCUACCCGAACUCUCCAAUGACUAAGCAGGGAGAUGGGGACAUCCCAGCUCCUGCUCAGGCCUCCAACUGCGCCCCAUCUCCACCCCCAGAUACCUCUCCAGGAGACACCUGCGUGGUUUCCCCUUUCGCCUUAAAUCCAGAUGCCUGGUUGUCUGCACAGGGUCUUGGGGCGGCAGGGGACGGGGGUCUAAAGAACUCUGGCCAAAAGGAUGAGGAUCUGGAGGUGGGGAACUGAGCCGAGGCAUGGGAGGUCAUCUCAGGGCAUGGCAGGGAGUGUGUUGUGGGAAUUCCGGGUGGAGAGCCUCAGGGCAGUGUGCCGGACCUCCGUUGCACCUCUGACCUGGAGCCACAUCACCUCAUGUUGUGCAGCCCCGGGGAGGGUCUUUGGGGAGGGGGUGCAGGGGCUGCACGUGUCCUCGAGGGCCGUGUUCACUCUCCAGGCACCACAGGCGGAGACACCCAAGCCUGGGAAGAAAUAAUGUUUUAAUUAAGAGUCCUGUCGGCCACAGGACUCAAAGCACGGACAGGUGGAUAGUAAAUCGCCACCGUGGGGACAGCCACGCCCAGAUUGUGCGUUUGCUUAGCUGGGGACAGCACUCGGCCCCGGGGCUCCUGCUCACCUCCCCUCAGAGCAUCUGCUGAACUUCGGGCAUCUACCCUCCGACUCCCGCUUGGCCGAGAGGAGGGGGAGAAGGAGGGGAAGAGAGAGGAGCCCCAUUUCCCUCCGGCAGGCAGACGGGCUGGAGCUGCUUUGCAGAAUGACUUGGGUCUUGCUGGCCCCUGGGUGUGCCUGGAGGGGGGUCUUCCUAGCCGCCUCCACUUCUCCCUUGGUGCCUAACCCAGGACUCUGUCCACAGAGACCCACUGUGUGUCCCCUGGAGCUCCUCCUGGAGCAGACUCUUCUGCUCUCUUUUCUGCAGAGGGUAAACUGAGGCCCAAGGAGGUUGUUAGGGACACAGCGCAGAGGGAGGCAGCCCAGAUCCCUGCUCAUGCGUGGUUUGGGACUCUGCUAACAGCUGGGCCACAUGUGUAUAUCUCGAGCCUGGAUCCCUUCUGUCACUCAUUUCCCUGUGCAUAUUCAGGGACCUGCCUCCAUCAGGUUUUGGCAAGAAAAUGGGGCAUUUAAUAAUCUCCCCAGUUCCAUUCCUUGGUCCCUACUCCAUGUCAGGACCUGCGCACGUCUUUUUGGAGCCCUGUCUCGAUUGACAGCCGGCUGCAGGCGGUGGCUCACGCCUGUAAUCCCAGCACUCUGGGAGGCCGAGGCGGGUGGAUCACGAGGUCAGGAGAUCGAGACCAUCCUGGCUAACACGGUGAAACCCCGUAUCUACUAAAAAUACACAAAAUUAGCCGGGCGUGGUGGCGGGUGCCUGUAGUCCCAGCUAUUCUGGAGGCUGAGUCAGGAGAAUGGCGUGAACCUGGGAGGUGGAGGUUGCAGUGAGCCAAGAUCGUGCCACUGCACUCCAGCCUGGGCGACAGAGACUCCGUCUCAAAAAAAAAAAAAAAAAAAAAGGUUGGCAGCCUCGCUGCUCAGAGGCCAGGAUGACAGCCCAUUUUACAGAUGGCUUUCGGCUUGCCCAAGGUCACCACCCUCUGGACUGGUGCCCCAGUAGCCUCUGAACUGAGAGGUCCCCAGCCCAUGCCGGGAGCUGAUGGAGGAAAAGGGGGGGAAGGGUUUCCCACUUCUCGACUGGGGGUGGAGGUGGGAGAAAGCAUUUUCAGGGCGUUUUUGACAUUUAACAAAUAGUAUGCAAAUCUCAUGCAAAUUACAUGCAAAUCAUCACCCAUUUCUUAAGCCUCGACAGCGCUGGCGUGUCUGAAAUAAUAAUGUCGGACCUGUCCCUUGGUGAUGACCUGGGUGGGGAGGUGCACAACCUUUUCCUUCCUCCCUCUUCCCGUCGCUUCCCAUCCCAUCUGUUCUCCUUUCUCCCUUCACCCCCUUCCUUCCCUCUCUCUCCCUAUCUUCCAUUUUUCUCUUCUUCCUUCACAUAAUUUGUCCAAGGCCUCCCUGGCCUGAGAUAAACAUAAAGCUGCAAAAGUGGCUUCCUGCAGCCCAUUUUCCUGGUUGGGAAACUGAGGCAUGGGCCUAAGUUCCCACAGCCACACCGAGGAAAGCAGCCCCCACUGAAUGUCACCAUGCACCCAAGUGCACGGUCCUCCUGACACAAGAAGGGGAGAUGACAGUGGCUGGAGUCGUCAGAGCUGCUUUGAGGAAGCUCCAGGCCUGACAGGCUUGACAGAGCCAAGGGGAACUAUUGUGGAAUUUCUUGGCCUUGAAUGACAGGCUGCUGAUUUUGGAUCUGGAGAAAGCUAAACACUGACUCUUCUGCUCCCCCAGUCUGUCUUUCUCCUGCUACUCCAUUCGCAUAUCCCUGAGUUUGGGCCACCAUCUCUCCAUUUGGUUUGCAUGUCCCACCUUCUUUGUUUGGCAAGCUCCUAUUCAUCCUUCAAAGCCCUAGCUUCAAUACCUGCUUCUUCAUGCAGCCAUUUCUCAUCCUUCAAGAAGAGCCUACUUCCCUCAAGGCCCCUGCUGCUUCCAGUCUCACUUUCUGACUCACUCGGGAUCCACGGAACUGGGAGGUCUGCGUCUCCUCCCAGCAGUCAGAGUCAUCACUACCUUUGGGGCUGCAGGAUCACCCAGCUUGGAACCAGAUACAGAAAUGCUGUUUUGAGAGUGCGCUAAAUAAAAGAUUAAAUGUUUGAAA